rnacentral:rRNA from 1 species
AAACAUGGCUCUUUGUCUUCUUCCUAUAAAGAGUCGAACCUGCCCAGUGAUGUAAUACAUUUAACGGCCGCAGUACCCUGACUGUGCAAAGGUAGCAUAAUCAUUUGCCCUAUAAUUGAGGGCUAGUAUGAAUGGUUUGACAAGAACAUAACUGUCUCUUGCGAAAUAAAUAAAAAUUAAACUUUGGGUGAAGAUGCCUAAAUUAAACUAAAAGACGAGAAGACCCUGUUGAGCUUUAAAAACUUAAGGGGUUACUCCCAGAAGUUUUUUUGGUUGGGGCGACCUAAGAACAUAUAAAGCUUCUUUCAUUAACAAAUGUGUUUAGCAAUGAUCCAGUAUGACUGAUUAAUUAAAUAAGCUACCGCAGGGAUAACAGCGUAAUUUUCUCUGAGAGUACAUAUUAAAGAGAAAGUUUGCGACCUCGAUGUUGGACUAAAAUAUCCUAAAGGUGCAGACGUCUUUAAGGGUUGGUCUGUUCGACCAUUAAAAUUUUACAUGAUCUGA